AAUGAACGCUGGCGGCAGGCCUAACACAUGCAAGUCGAACGAACCCUUCGGGGUGAGUGGCGCACGGGUGAGUAACACGUGGGAAUUUACACUUAGGUGCGGAAUAACAGUUGGAAACGACUGCUAAUACCGCAUAAUGACUCCGGUCCAAAGAUUUAUCGCCUAAGGAUAAGCCCGCGUCUGAUUAGGUAGUUGGUAGGGUAAUGGCCUACCAAGCCUACGAUCAGUAGCUGGUUUGAGAGGAUGAUCAGCCACACUGGGACUGAGACACGGCCCAGACUCCUACGGGAGGCAGCAGUGAGGAAUAUUGGACAAUGGGGGCAACCCUGAUCCAGCCAUGCCGCGUGAACGAAGAAGGCCUUAGGGUUGUAAAGUUCUUUCAGGGGUGAAGAUAAUGACGGUAACCCCAGAAGAAGCUCCGGCUAACUCCGUGCCAGCAGCCGCGGUAA
rnacentral:rRNA from 1 species